AUUCCACCUGACCAUUUGAUUUCUUUUCUCUCUUUUUUUUGUUUGUUUUUGGUUCAGGCAUUUCUUGCACUGUUUUUUUUUUUUUAUUUUUUGCAGGAUCAACCUCGAUUCCUCUUUCAUUCGCAACAUGCCUCGGCAGCUUGCUGGACGGCACUCCCUAAGUGCGCUAAUUCAAACUCAACAGUAUGAGUUAUCUCUACCUGUCAAACAACUGGAUCAAG
rnacentral:lncRNA from 1 species